rnacentral:lncRNA from 1 species
AUUCAUAACCCAUGGCAGACCAGACUUGGCGGGAGCUCUUUUCCUGGCCUGUGCCCUUUGCAAGUAUUUGACUUCUUCUGGAACAACCUGAAAGGAAUAAGGUGAUCUUGUGGCCAAGGCAAAGUUCAUAUGACACAUGCCAAUCUGGUGAAUAUUUUGGAAUGACUGGAGAGAAGGGAAGUGAUUGGAAUUGGACCAGGU